CUCCUCCUAAAGAGUAACGGAGGAGCACGAAGGUUGGCUAAUCCUGGUCGGACAUCAGGAGGUUAGUGCAAUGGCAUAAGCCAGCUUGACUGCGAGCGUGACGGCGCGAGCAGGUGCGAAAGCAGGUCAUAGUGAUCCGGUGGUUCUGAAUGGAAGGGCCAUCGCUCAACGGAUAAAAGGUACUCCGGGGAUAACAGGCUGAUACCGCCCAAGAGUUCAUAUCGACGGCGGUGUUUGGCACCUCGAUGUCGGCUCAUCACAUCCUGGGGCUGAAGUAGGUCCCAAGGGUAUGGCUGUUCGCCAUUUAAAGUGGUACGCGAGCUGGGUUUAGAACGUCGUGAGACAGUUCGGUCCCUAUCUGCCGUGGGCGCUGGAGAACUGAGGGGGGCUGCUCCUAGUACGAGAGGACCGGAGUGGACGCAUCACUGGUGUUCGGGUUGUCAUGCCAAUGGCACUGCCCGGUAGCUAAAUGCGGAAGAGAUAAGUGCUGAAAGCAUCUAAGCACGAAACUUGCCCCGAGAUGAGUUCUCCCUGACUCCUUGAGGGUCCUGAAGGAACGUUGAAGACGACGACGUUGAUAGGCCGGGUGUGUAAGCGCAGCGAUGCGUUGAGCUAACCGGUACUAAUGAACCGUGAGGCUUAACCUUACAACGCCGAAG
rnacentral:rRNA from 1 species